rnacentral:rRNA from 1 species
AUUACCCACUCCCAGCACGGGGAGGUAGUGACGAAAAAUAACGAUACGGGACUCAUCCGAGGCCCCGUAAUCGGAAUGAGUACAAUUUAAAACUUUUUCCGAGGAUCAAUUGGAGGGUAAGUCUGGUGCCAGCAGCCGCGGUAAUUCCAGCUCCAAUAGCGUAUAUUAAAGUUGUUGCGGUUAAAAAGCUCGUAGUCGAAUCUGUGUCCCGCGCCGCUGGUUCAUCGCUCGCGGUGUUCAACUGGCGUGUUUCGCGGGACGUCCUGCCGGUGGGCGCUCGUAUCGUUUCGGCGGUGCGUGGCCCAGCUCGUAGCCGUCUCGCGCGGUUGCGAAUCUCAUCGCGGUGCUCUUUAUUGAGUGUCGAGGUGGGCCGGCACGUUUACUUUGAACAAAUUAGAGUGCUUAAAGCAGGCCAAUUUUGCCUGAAUAUUGUGUGCAUGGAAUAAUGGAAUAGGACCUCGGUUCUAUUUUGUUGGUUUUCGGAACCCCGAGGUAAUGAUUAAUAGGAACGGAUGGGGGCAUUCGUAUUGCGACGUUAGAGGUGAAAUUCUUGGAUCGUCGCAAGACGGACAGAAGCGAAAGCAUUUGCCAAAAACGCUUUCAUUGAUCAAGAACGAAAGUUAGAGGUUCGAAGGCGAUCAGAUACCGCCCUAGUUCUAACCAUAAACGAUGCCAGCUAGCGAUCCGCCGACGUUCCUCCGAUGACUCGGCGGGCAGCUUCCGGGAAACCAAAGCUUUUGGGUUCCGGGGGAAGUAUGGUUGCAAAGCUGAAACUUAAAGGAAUUGACGGAAGGGCACCACCAGGAGUGGAGCCUGCGGCUUAAUUUGACUCAACACGGGACACCUCACCAGGCCCGGACACCGGAAGGAUUGACAGAUUGAUAGCUCUUUCUUGAUUCGGUGGGUGGUGGUGCAUGGCCGUUCUUAGUU